AGAGCACCACGAGCUCCGGCUCUGCUGGCACCAGCGCGCACCCUGCGCCACGCUCCUCCAGCGGAUGUCACCUGUAGUUCCUGUGCGCCUGUCUCUCCCCAGCUCUGCUCCUGGGUCCCCUGAGGGUCACGGCCCCGCUGGGCCCUCAGUGGCGUCAUUGCACAGAGCAGCCCAGGCUUCUUCCUUCAGGCUGACUUAGCUGCUGAGAAACAAUAUGCCGGCUAGCUCCGGGUCCCACUUCGCCUUCUAGUACUGCGGUGACAUGAUGAAACAAAUGCUUACAAGACAGGGGGUGAAACCAU
rnacentral:lncRNA from 1 species